rnacentral:tRNA from 2 species
CGGGGAGUGGCGCAGUCUGGCAGCGCACCAGUCUGGGGGACUGGGGGUCGUGGGUUCAAAUCCCGCCUCCCCGACCA